rnacentral:tRNA from 1 species
GCCCGCGUAGCUCAGCGGUAGAGCAACUGCCUUGUAAGCAGUAGGUCGCCGGUUCAAUCCCGGCCGCGGGCU